AUCCAGCAGUAGCCUCCUCCCUGUAGCUACUCCUACAGAAGUAGCUCUGCCCUGUCCCCUCCCUUCCAUCUAGGCUGCCACCUGCAGAGUCAGCUCAACCCCCUCCCAGAAGCGCCCCAACAGCUGAGUAAAGCAGUUCCUGGGCACCUUUCAGCCCCAGCACUUCAGAUCCUACCAUGUAGGGGAGACAGCACCCCCACUCCUAGCUCAUCCAGUCCAACCCCUCCGGAGGCCAGAGAUGGCAAGGAAGUUGCCUAAGUCUGAGCAGCCCAGCAGGGGAGAGCAGAGCAUGGGGCUCCUCGCUGUCUCCCAGGCUGCCGGCUGCAUGAGCGCUGUCCUGUCACUCACUCACUCACUCAGUCAGUGAGGAUUUAUUGAGUGUGUGCUGGGCACAAGAGCUUGUGCGAGGAGGGCAGAAAAAAGAGACUGAUCUGCCCUCGGGGAGGCAGACGCAGGGCUCUGGGUGGGCGAGCAUCCCUGUGCCCUGCAGGGUGGCUUUGGUGCCCUGGUGCGGUGGGUCCUCCUGGAAGUGGGGUUCCCUUGGGCGCUUUGGGGGAGAGACUUCUGGCCCAGGGCUUGUGGCAGGUGGAGGAUGGGGUGAGGCGGGAGCUGAGACCGAGGGCUGGGACGUCUUGGGAUGCGAGGGACUCACUGCCCCAAUUUCCCCUAGGUCUGCCCCCACCAGGACUGUGUCUCUGCCUCUGUUUGACCUGGCCUCUCACCUCUGGAGCACGGCCCCUCAGCCAUCUCCUUUGCUGCCCCUUGUGCCUCCCGAGGAAGCGUCCCCUCUCCUCGCCAGGCUCUCCCCCCUCCCCCUCCCCUCUCUGUCACCUCCACCCCAGAAAGAAGCCUUCACUUUCUCCACCAGCCUCUCUCCCCUCAACCCCCAGCAGCUGUGGGGGAAAUUGGGCCAUUUGAAGAAUAAAGGAGAAGGCAGGAGGGAGGAAACCCCCAUCUCAGGCCCGGUCCACAGCUGGGGUGAAAGCCUGUUCCUCGUUAACACCCCGACUCAGGGACCAGGACUGGGGUGUCGUGUCUCCUCCGCCUCCCGCGGGCCGGGAGGUGAAAGGCAUGCUGGGAGGUGGUAGCCAGAGUUAUUGGGAGCAGAUGGGAAGGGAUGGUGGAGGGGCAGGGCCGUGGGGGAGGGAGGGGCAACCUAGGGGUGGGAGGAAACCAAAAAGACCCUUACCCAGACCACUGGGGUCCUGAGCCAGUUAUCUGGACGUUCUCCACGGGACAUUCCUUGGUCCAGGUGACAGUUCUUGAACCUUUCCCAUCCGUGCCCCAGAUCAAGUGCCUAGUCAUGGUGUAAGUGAUGAAAAGAGAGCUUAAAAUCGAACACCAAAGACCACCAGGAACGUCCACCGAGUAGAAGAUUUACGGUUGAGCCAGGAGGAGUAUCCUUGUGAAGAUACCUACACAGUCGUUUCAAUGGGAGAAUUUACAAGCAUCUUCCUUCUCUUGCUACCGAGUGGAAAAAUACACUGGGCCCAGAGCUAGACCACCCCCUCCCUGCUGACCCAACGCAUCCACCAGAGGCAUCCCUGGCCACCUAGUUCCCUGGACCAAGAUGAGGCCUUGCUAUGUCCCAGGCCCUGCUGGGAUCCCCCUCCACCUCCUGAUGCUGCUGAUAGCCACAAAGGGAAGCAGAGAAGUGAACCCCAGUGGCCACCACACUGCAAGCAUCAGGAAACAUUUACUGCCUAGAAGGAUGACCUCUGGACUCAGAAUCCAAAGGAUAAUGAAUGCAGACAGGGAGGAGCAAUAAAUCAUUUAUGAAUUGCCGACAGAACCUUUUAUGCUUGAAGGAAACAUGGCUGUGUGUGAUUCAGGGAAAGCUGAACUUGGCAUCUUCUCCUAAACCCACUCUGAUGUGUUCAACGUCGCCUCCUUCAUUGCUCAGAUGGGAAAACCAGGGAAGCUAUAGAAGAGAAUUUAUAGGGGAACCAGCUACAAGAAGAAUUCAGUUAACAAAAUCAAGAGCUUUCUAAUAAAAUAGCAAUAGCUAAUUCUGAAGGAAAAAAAUUUCCCUGGCAUGAACUCUUGAAAGCUGUGCAGAACCCAUAGGAAUGAAACUCUGAAACGGUACUGAAAUUCACAAAAGAAGACUUGAAUAAAUGGAAGGACAUGCUUCUUGUUGAGAAGAUUCAAUAUGUAAAAAUGUUGUUUCACCACAUAUUAAUUUAUACCUUUAAUAAAAUUCUGAUAAACAUUCUCAUAGUAGUUUUUCAGAACUUUAAGAGAAUGUAAAGUUCAGUUGGAAAAAUGAAUAGGCAAGAAUGCUUCAUUAUUAAAUAAAAACAUUACCAUUCAGCUCAAAAAACUCAAAAAAGAACAAAACACACCAAAGGAAAUAGGAGGGAAAAGUUAUAAAGAAAAGAUGAAUUACAAAAAGAAAAAUAGAAGUGAUAAAUAUAUUCAAUAACACUUUCUAUGAAAAAUGUAAUACAAUAAACAAGUUCUCCCUUAUAUUGUUCAUCAUAAUAAAUCAUGAAAGAAAUAAAGUGAAACAAAAAAUCUGUAAUUCUUUUCUUAUGUUAGGAAUAAGAUAGGUGUAUAUAUUUUUUCCUAUUAAUUUGUUCAAUUGAGCCCUCUUUCUGUACCAGGUUGUUUAAAUUACUCUAAGCUUUGUAAGAUAUUUAGUCAGUAUAGUAGUUAAACUUUUAAGCCCUGAAGUAAUGAGUUUCGGGUUCAAAUAAAACUCCUAACAUUUAUAAUAGUGCCUCUGUGUUACUGGCAAACUUUUUAAACAUCUCGAAGUUGCAGGUAAUUGUACUUUAAGUUUUGAGGAGG